rnacentral:rRNA from 1 species
GGGCCCGCACAAGCGGUGGAGCAUGUGGUUUAAUUCGAUGAUACGCGAGGAACCUUACCAGGGCUUAAAUGUAGUAUGACCGGCUUGGAAACAGGCCUUCUCUUCGGAGCAGAUUACAAGGUGCUGCAUGGUUGUCGUCAGCUCGUGCCGUGAGGUGUUAGGUUAAGUCCUGCAACGAGCGCAACCCCUAUUCUUAGUUGCCAGCGGUUCGGCCGGGGACUCUAAGAAGACUGCCAGCGCAAGCUGAGAGGAAGGUGGGGAUGACGUCAAAUCAUCACGGCCCUUACGUCCUGGGCUACACACGUGCUACAAUGGUAGAGACAGAGGGCAGCCACCUGGUGACAGGGAGCGAA